GAAGGCGACGGCGAGGGCGAUGAAACAUUGCGAUCCGCGGAGGUCAUGAUCGGCGUUGGAGGCACGAUGCAUGUGAAUCUCAUUUGUUGGGGUUCACUUUGUAAUGUGGGAUCUGCUGGCUGUGAUUUUGGAGUCGAGAGAUAAACGUUGUGGUCGGGAAUUGCAGAGUCAAACCCCGUGCUAUCCUCCCACCGUCCUUCUGCCUUGUUUUCCAGAGAGAAGAAUCAUUGCAUUGGGUGUUUCAUCUAAUUUCAUAAUUCAUUAAAUAUACAAGUUACCUUAAGUAGCUUUAUCCAUGCUACAGCUCCUGUAGGAUAUAUGAAAAGGUAGAGAAUAAAGUGACCGAUUAAAAUAUAUGUACAUUUCGUCUAAUGAAUGUUCAGAGAAUUAAUAAAUUACGUAUUAAAGCCAAGA